rnacentral:misc_RNA from 1 species
GGAAGGAUCAUUAAAAGUAAAAUAUGUAUUCUCACGAAUAUACAUUUUUGUAAACCCCAUCUGUGUACCUUACCUGUUGCUUCCGCUGGGCAGUGAUCUCGGUCACCUCCGCAAGGGCGGCUUCAGCCGUCGGCGCGGGGAGUCCUCGCGAAUGGAUCUACAUCAAACUCUUGCAUUCCUAUGUCAUCUGUCUGAACCUGUUUAUAACAAAUGUUAAAACUUUCAACAACGGAUCUCUUGGUUCUCGCAUCGAUGAAGAACGCAGCGAAAUGCGAUAAGUAGUGUGAAUUGCAGAAUUCAGUGAAUCAUCGAAUCUUUGAACGCACAUUGCGCCUCCUGGUAUUCCGGGAGGCAUGCCUGUUCGAGCGUCAUUAAAAGACCACUCAAGCCUCUUUUGGGGGCUUGGUAUUGGGAGAGGAGUGCACUCGCUUGCCCUCCCUUCCGAAAUCCAAUGGCGGAGAGCCCCACGUGCCCCGGCGUAGUAAGUUUUUCUUUCGCUCGGAACGUGAGGUGAUCCUGCCGCGAACCCCCCACAAUUAUUUCCAGGUUGACCUCGGAUCAGGUAGGGAUACCCGCUGAACUUAAGCAUAUCAAUAAGCGGAGGAAAAGAAACCAACAGGGAUUGCCUUAGUAACUGCGAGUGAAGCGGCAAAAGCUCAAAUUUGAAAUCUGACGUCACAUCGGCGUCCGAGUUGUAAUUUGGAGGGACAUAUUCGGGGGUGGCGCCGUCCUAAGUUCCUUGGAACAGGACGUCACAGAGGGUGAGAAUCCCGUGCCAGGAUGGCUGAUCCACCACCAAUGUGAAUUGUCUCCGACGAGUCGAGUUGUUUGGGAAUGCAGCUCAAAAUGGGUGGUAAAUUUCAUCUAAAGCUAAAUAUUGGCGAGAGACCGAUAGCGCACAAGUAGAGUGAUCGAAAGAUGAAAAGCACUUUGAAAAGAGAGUUAAAAAGUACGUGAAAUUGUUGAAAGGGAAGCGCUUGCGACCAGAUUCGAUCUUUGGCGAACAGCCGGGCCUUCGUGGUUCGGUGCGCUUGCCACUGAUCGGGCCAGCAUCGGUUCCGAGGGCGGGAUAAAAGGUCGGGGAAUGUGGCUUCCCUCGGGGAGUGUUAUAGACCCGAUCACAAUGCCGCCACUUGGGACCGAGGACCGCGCUUCGGCUAGGAUGCUGGCGUAAUGGUCUUAAGCGACCCGUCUUGAAACACGGACCAAGGAGUCUAACAUCUAUGCGAGUGUUCGGGUGGAAAACCCUUGCGCGUAAUGAAAGUGAACGGAGGUGUGAACCCGCAAGGGUGCAACAUCGACCGGUCCUGAUGUCUUCGGAAGGAUCUGAGUAAGAGCAUAGCUGUUGGGACCCGAAAGAUGGUGAACUAUGCCUGAAUAGGGUGAAGCCAGAGGAAACUCUGGUGGAGGCUCGCAGCGGUUCUGACGUGCAAAUCGAUCGUCAAAUUUGGGUAUAGGGGCGAAAGACUAAUCGAACCAUCUAGUAGCUGGUUCCUGC